UGGGGAAUUUUGGACAAUGGGCGAAAGCCUGAUCCAGCAAUGCCGCGUGUGUGAAGAAGGCCUUCGGGUUGUAAAGCACUUUUGUCCGGAAAGAAAUCCUUGGCUCUAAUACAGUCGGGGGAUGACGGUACCGGAAGAAUAAGCACCGGCUAACUACGUGCCAGCAGCCGCGGUAAUACGUAGGGUGCAAGCGUUAAUCGGAAUUACUGGGCGUAAAGCGUGCGCAGGCGGUUUGCUAAGACCGAUGUGAAAUCCCCGGGCUCAACCUGGGAACUGCAUUGGUGACUGGCAGGCUAGAGUAUGGCAGAGGGGGGUAGAAUUCCACGUGUAGCAGUGAAAUGCGUAGAGAUGUGGAGGAAUACCGAUGGCGAAGGCAGCCCCCUGGGCCAAUACUGACGCUCAUGCACGAAAGCGUGGGGAGCAAACAGGAUUAGAUACCCUGGUAGUCCACGCCCUAAACGAUGUCAACUAGUUGUUGGGGAUUCAUUUCCUUAGUAACGUAGCUAACGCGUGAAGUUGACCGCCUGGGGGAGUACGGUCGCAAGAUUAAAACUUAAAGGAAUUGACGGGGUCAUAGCUG
rnacentral:rRNA from 1 species